AUUGAACGCUGGCGGCAGGCCUAACACAUGCAAGUCGAGCGAGCGGCGGACGGGUGAGUAAUGUAUGGGGACUGCCCGAUAGAGGGGGAUAACUACAGGAAACGGUGGCUAAUACCGCAUAAUGUCGGAUAACCCAUAUGGGAUUAGCUAGUAGGUACGGUAAUGGCUUACCUAGGAGAGGAUCCCUAGCUGGUCUGAGAGGAUGAUCAGCCACAGUGGGACUGAGACACGGCCCAGACUCCUACGGAGGCAGCAGUGGGGAAUAUUGCACAAUGGGCGCAAGCCUGAUGCAGUCAUGCCGCGUGUAUGAAGAAGGCCCUAGGGUUGUAAAGUACUUUCAGUCGGGAGGCGUUACCGACAGAAGAAGCACCGGCUAACUCCGUGCCAGCAGCCGCGGUAAUAC
rnacentral:rRNA from 1 species